CGCUCGGAAAGAGGUGAUGCGACCUCCCCAGAGGAAUGAGCAGUGUGUCAGUACUUCCCAGUCAGCUACACUGGGCUUCUUUCCUUUGGGGGGAGAAUCCAGUUCCAGGUGUUCAGCCAUGGCAAAGGCAGAAGCAGACACUGUCAGCAUGUUUCAGCCCCCUUGACAGCCACUACUGAUGAUUGUAAGUCAUGCUGCUGAAAUGGAUGCAAUUACUCACAUAUUGGCAGGCUCUGUGGGAAGGCAGAACUCUGAAUCACUCCAAGCCAUAACGGGAGGGUGGAAGAAGAAUGGGUAGCUGAAUCAGCUAUAAGACCAGUGACUCAUCAGCAAGCAAAAUUAUGCUAGCAGGUAUAGCAAGGUGAAGCAGGUGCCAGCAAGUGAGAAAGGAGAAACAAAAUGGCUUGAGUUAACAAGUUAGCCAAUAUCUAGAGCUAACAAAAAUAAAAAUCUCUGAGCAAAUAAA